rnacentral:lncRNA from 1 species
AAAGACACAAAAUCAUGGUGUAUUAGUCUCCGUCACUAUAUCCACAUACUUAAAAAAUCCGAAUGCCGAUCGAACAAUUGAUCGAUGAUCUUUCGUAUCAUGGAAUUUUUUAUAAAGUUUUCGAAAUAUGUUAUAUGGACACGAUACGUUGAAGUAUCUGAUGUUUCACUGCAAAUAGUACGAUGGAUAUACACUACAUGAAAAGAGGUCUACAACGACGAUUUUGUAUUGUACAGACCUCAUAGACAAGUAUUUGAUGUAGACGAUGUGCAAUGAAUUUUAUUAUUUUAUCGGUC